rnacentral:rRNA from 1 species
UCGGGAAUUUUGGGCAAUGGGCGCAAGCCUGACCCAGCAACGCCGCGUGAGGGAUGAAGGCCUUCGGGUCGUAAACCUCUGUCGGGAGGGACGAAAGGCGCGCGGGUGAACAAUCCGCGUACUUGACGGUACCUCCAAAGGAAGCGCCGGCUAACUCCGUGCCAGCAGCCGCGGUAAUACGGAGGGCGCAAGCGUUGUUCGGAAUCACUGGGCGUAAAGCGCGUGCAGGCGGCUUGGUAAGUCGGGUGUGAAAUCCCGGAGCUCAACUCCGGAACUGCACCCGAUACUGCCUCGCUAGAGUCCCGGAGAGGAUGGCGGAAUUUCCGGUGUAGAGGUGAAAUUCGUAGAUAUCGGAAGGAACACCAGCGGCGAAGGCGGCCAUCUGGACGGUGACUGACGCUCAGACGCGAAAGCGCGGGGAGCAAACAGGAUUAGAUACCCUGGUAGUCCGCGCUGUAAACGUUGGGUGCUAGGCGUCGUGGUA